rnacentral:rRNA from 1 species
UGGAGCAUGUGGUUUAAUCGAAGCAACGCGAAGAACCUUACCAGGUCUUGACAUCCCGAUGCUAUUUCUAGAGAUAGAAAGUUACUUCGGUACAUCGGUGACAGGUGGUGCAUGGUUGUCGUCAGCUCGUGUCGUGAGAUGUUGGGUUAAGUCCCGCAACGAGCGCAACCCCUAUUGUUAGUUGCCAUCAUUCAGUUGGGCACUCUAGCGAGACUGCCGGUAAUAAACCGGAGGAAGGUGGGAUGACGUCAAAUCAUCAUGCCCCUUAUGACCUGGGCUACACACGUGCUACAAUGGUUGGUACAACGAGUUGCGAGUCGGUGACGGCGAGCUAAUCUCUUAAAGCCAAUCUCAGUUCGGAUUGUAGGCUGCAACUCGCCUACAUGAAGUCGGAAUCGCUAGUAAUCGCGGAUCAGCACGCCGCGGUGAAUACGUUCCCGGGCCUU